AAGCACUUCAGCCUGACACGUUCAAGGAACUGACUGAAUUGAUAACUUUACUUAUGAAUGGAAAUAAUAUCAAAGUUCUUGGACCCAAUUCAUUCAGAGGAUUAACAAAUCUACGUGAAUUGGACCUUUCAGGCUCAAAUAUCGAAGACAUYAAACAAGGGGCCUUUGCUGGUCUGGAU